GACGAACGCUGGCGGCGUGCUUAACACAUGCAAGUCGUGCGGAAAGGCCCCUUUGGGGUGCUCGAGCGGCGAACGGGUGAGUAACACGUGAGUAAUCUGCCCUGCACUUUGGGAUAACUGCCGGAAACGGUGGCUAAUACUGGAUAGGACUGCAUCCUGCAUGGGGUGUGGUGGAAAGCCUUUGGGUGGUGUGGGAUGUGCUCGCGGCCUAUCAGCUUGAUGGUGGGGUAGUGGCCUACCAUGGCUUUGACGGGUAGCCGGCCUGAGAGGGUGACCGGUCACACUGGGACUGAGACACGGCCCAGACUCCUGCGGGGGGCAGCAGUGGGGAAUAUUGGACAAUGGGCGGAAGCCUGAUCCAGCAACGCCGCGUGAGGGAUGACGGCCUCGGUUGUAAACCUACUUUCGUCUCAUGACGAAGUUCUGCUUUUUGGGUUGGGUGGACGGUAGUGGAGAAGAAGCACCGGCCAACUACGUGCCAGCA
rnacentral:rRNA from 1 species